rfam:Leersia perrieri chromosome 4, whole genome shotgun sequence.
UCCAACUUUAAUCGUCCAUCUUAUUUUAAAAAAUUGUAUAACUAAUAUGUUUAUUGCUAUUAGAUGGUAACACAUAAAUAGUACUUUAUGCAUGACUAUUUUUUCUUAAUUUAUUCAUAAAAAUAUUGAAUAAGACGAACGAUCAAAGUUAGACA